AGGUCCCACCAUAGGAAGCGUGCUAACGACAACCAGCCUCCGUGAACUAAUACCUAAAGGUAGUCCAGCGGGCAAGAGUAGUUGAGGAAGCGUGUGGGGGUAGUUUUUAGUACGUAGGCGCCAUGGAUGGCGAAUCGUGCUUGCUGCUACUAAGAACCAGCAGCAUUUCUUGAAGAUUUUCUACCUCCAGCUCGC
rfam:Glossina fuscipes fuscipes unplaced genomic scaffold Scaffold39, whole genome shotgun sequence.